rnacentral:rRNA from 1 species
CGGGGAAUAUUGCACAAUGGGCGCAAGCCUGAUGCAGCCAUGCCGCGUGUGUGAAGAAGGCCUUCGGGUUGUAAAGCACUUUCAGCGAAGAGGAAGGGUAGUGUGUUAAUAGCACAUUGCAUUGACGUUACUCGCAGAAGAAGCACCGGCUAACUCCGUGCCAGCAGCCGCGGUAAUACGGAGGGUGCAAGCGUUAAUCGGAAUUACUGGGCGUAAAGCGCACGCAGGCGGUUUGUUAAGUCAGAUGUGAAAUCCCCGCGCUUAACGUGGGAACUGCAUUUGAAACCGGCAAGCUAGAGUCUUGUAGAGGGGGGUAGAAUUCCAGGUGUAGCGGUGAAAUGCGUAGAGAUCUGGAGGAAUACCGGUGGCGAAGGCGGCCCCCCUGGACAAAGACUGACGCUCAGGUGCGAAAGCGUGGGGAGCAAACAGGAUUAGAUACCC